UCCAUUUUGUAAUAUCCUUCUUUAAGUGCCUUAGCUUCUGGAUCAGGACAAAAUCAGGAGUGCCCAUAACAAUGUAAGAGUUCCACCAAUCUCUUACCAUAUCUAGGCAACCAUCUGACUGUAGCCACAUAUUCUCAAAUUUAAAGUAAGAGGGUGAAGCAUCCCAAUCCCCACUUUCCAGGACGAUGGGCUUGUGGUCAG
rnacentral:lncRNA from 1 species